CUAUGAAGAAUAGAAUAUGACCUCCUUGAACAAAAAACUCUAUCUUCCAACUCCAGGCAUUUUCACAGCCUUUUUCCUUUGCCUGAAAUGUUCUCCUGCCUUGUUUCUGCCUCCUGGAUUCCCUGACUUCCUUCAAGUCUCAGCUUAUUACUAUUAAAACUUCUAUGGAGAUCACAUGAAGAGGGAAGCGGAGGAUCUUUUUAUGUGUAAUAUUUGUAUGGAGCCACCAUAUGUGAAGCUCGGAUGGAAAGAUUCUGACAGAGGUCAAGGACUCACUCCUGCCUGAGACUCAGAAAGCAUGACAACUAGAAAAGGAGAGAGAUUUGUGAGUAAAUUGGGGGUGGAGGACAUUGGAGAAGAGAGAAGGAAACAUACACAAAGCAAUUAUGCCAGACUUUGGAGGGAGACAAAGGCAACAAUGAAAAGGAAAUCUUCCACAAGGUGUGUGACUGUAAUCACUUGGCUUCUCACAGCUUGCAUUUCUUCACAAAUGAUUGUUGAAAUAAAUUUUUGUAAUGAGGACCUCACAAAUGAAACAGUCAGAUGGCAUUUAACUCCAUAAAGAAAUAUCUUAUGAAAAAAAAAACAGGAUAAGGCAAUAAGUUGGACAAAGGGUAUAUUAAGAAUAUGUACUCAUAUGAGGAAUU
rnacentral:lncRNA from 1 species